rnacentral:rRNA from 1 species
UGGCGGACGGGUGAGUAAUGUCUGGGAAACGUGCCUGGUGGAGGGGGGUAACUACUGGAAACGGUAGCUAAUACCGCAUAACGUCGCAAGACCAAAGAAGGGGGACCGUUCGGGCCUCUUGCCAUCGGAUGUGCCCAGAUGGGAUUAGCUAGUAGGUGGGGUAACGGCUCACCUAGGCGACGAUCCCUAGCUGGUCCGAGAGGAUGACCAGCCACACUGGAACUGAGACACGGUCCAG